UACGGGGGGAGCAAGGCGUUGUUCGGAUUUACUGGGCGUAAGGGCGCAGUAGGCGGUCAGCACAAGUCAGUUGUGAAAUCUCCGGGCUUAACUCGGAAAGGUCAACUGAUACUGUGCGACUAGAGUGCAGAAGGGCAACUGGGAAUUCUCGGUGUAGCGGUGAAAUGCGUAGAUAUCGAGAGGAACACCGGUGGCGAAGGCGGCCUGCUGGGCAGUUGCUGACACUGAGGCGCGACAGCGUGGGGAGCAAACAGG
rnacentral:rRNA from 1 species